ACCAGGAAUACGACUAUACGCGAACAAUAACAUGCUCGAAUUGUAUCCUUUCAGAAUAAUUAUGGUUUGUAGUUUAGUAUGUUACUUCAGAUUUGUAUACGGGUUGCUAAACCCUGCGAGCAAAUUGAAUCAGUGCGUUGAAGUACAUAAAUGAAAGAUGCUCUUAUCCAGAGCAGCUUGCUGUGUGCUAUAGCUGCGUCGCCAUCUUGGAUCAUUUUAGUUGCCAGGUGAAUUAUAACCACCAGGAUACAGACACAGAUCAGGACUGGUAUGUCAGAACUUUAGAAGUUCCUUUACCUUCACAAAAGGAGGUGUCCAUUGCACUCCGGUCCUUGUCCCCUGAUCAUGAGCCACGGACAGGAGCAACCAUAAAAAGUCUGAGUGCUUCAGCCAAUGCCCUCUCUGUAAAAUGGAAUGCUGUUGAGGCUCGCAGUCUUCGUGUAUCAGUAGGCUCAUUUUUAGAUCACUUGGCACUUAUAAUGGAAACUAUGGAUUCAUUUGGACAACCAGAUCUACAGUGAAACUAAUACAUCAUGCUGAUGGAAAAUGUGACCAGAUUAUAUUCAGGGAGAUUAAUUCUGUACUAUUUAAAAAUAGUGUAUUUUGUCUGUUUAAUAAACAUUUAAAAACUA